UACGUAGGGGGCAAGCGUUGUCCGGAAUCAUUGGGCGUAAAGCGAGCGUAGGCGGCCCGAUAAGUCUGCUGUAAAAGUCAACGGCUCAACCGUUGAAAGCCGGUGGAUACUGUCGGGCUAGAGUUCGGAAGAGGCAAGUGGAAUUCCUGGUGUAGCGGUGGAAUGCGCAGAUAUCAGGAGGAACACCUAUAGCGAAGGCAGCCAUCUGGACCGACACUGACGCUGAGGCGCGAAAGCGUGGGGAGCAAACAGG
rnacentral:rRNA from 1 species